GGAGGUGGCAGUUCGAUGGAGACCAUUGAAACUUGUUUAUGAUCAUGACAUAAGGCUGGGACAGAUGCCAAUGAAUUGUACUUUUAAAGUGCUAAGGGAGAUUGUGAGCAAACGUUUUCCAUCUUCAAAGUCAGUUUUGAUCAAGUAUAAAGAUAAUGAUGGUGAUUUGGUGACUAUAACAUGUACAGCUGAACUCAGAUUGGCAGAGUCCUCUGCAGACAACCUCUUGGACAAGGAGCCUCGCACGGAUAAAACUGAUACAACUGGCAUGUUAAGAUUACAUAUUGUUGAGGUGAGUGCCGAGCAAGAGCCUCCUUUGCUGGAAGAGGAGGAGGGGAAACCUCUUGAGACUGAAGGGAGCAAGGGAGAGGAAAGUGUGUCUCAUUCGUCACUUGGUGAAUCUG
rnacentral:misc_RNA from 1 species